rnacentral:tRNA from 1 species
AUUAUUUUGGCAGAUUAGUGUGAUGAAUUUAGAAUUCAUGUAUGUAAUUAUUUUAC